rnacentral:rRNA from 1 species
AACGCGAAGAACCUUACCUACCCUUGACAUCCUGCGAAUCUUGAUGAGAGUUGAGAGUGCCGAAAGGAACGCAGAGACAGGUGCUGCAUGGCUGUCGUCAGCUCGUGUUGUGAGAUGUUGGGUUAAGUCCCGUAACGAGCGCAACCCUUGUCCUUAGUUGCCAUCAUUUAGUUGGGGACUCUAAGGAGACUGCCGGUGAGGAACCGGAGGAAGGCGGGGACGACGUCAAGUCAUCAUGGCCUUUAUGGGUAGGGCUACACACGUGCUACAAUGGGGCGUACAGAGAGUCGCGAAGCCGCGAGGUGAAGCCAAUCUCAGAAAGCGUCUCGUAGUCCGGAUCGGAGUCUGCAAUUCGACUCCGUGAAGUCGGAAUCGCUAGUAAUCGCGAAUCAGCAUUGUCGCGGUGAAUACGUUCCCGGGCCUUGUACACACCGAGUAUA